CACACACACACACACACACACACACACACACACACACACACACAUAUACAGUCUCACGUGUUUCAACACACCCAUCACCCAGCUUCCCGUCCAGCUUCUUCUUUUUCUCUAAACUUCGGCAAAAUAGAACAGAGUGUGUUCACUGCAGUGUCAGGUGCAGAGAAACACACACACACACACACACACACACACACACACUGAGAUAUAGAUGAUAAUCGAAGUGAGAUGAAAAGAGGAGGAGCAGGAGGAGGAUAUAUGGGUCAUCGAUAGACGUGUGAGACGUUUUGUGACAGAAGCGUGUCAGACUCUCGGCUCAGUGGGACGACACUCGCUCAGGAAGGUGCACUGAACAGGAAAACGAGAGAGAGAGAGAGCGAGAGCGCGAGAGAGAGCGAGACGGAGGGAGAAAGAGGAAGAGAAGGGUUGUGUCUUUCCGGCCUAGAUUAAUGCGAGUUUAACCUCAGAGAACAGCCACAGCACGGAGAAAAGAACAGAACUGAGACUGAGAUGAAGAGAUGUCAUGGUUAUGAAUAAAAAGUCAUCGUGUUUAAAUCUCUGCUGAAGAAACUAAAGCUGCAGAUGUUUAUGAUUUUCGGGACAUGCUGAAGCUCACGGCACGUACCUGAAUCGAACAUAUCCAAUCGCGGUACAAGAAAAAGCAAAAAAUAAAUAAAAAGCUCUUCACCGAGGUGCUGCAGUGAAACAGGAUGUACCUGCUUUUCAUCUCUCUGGUCUUCUCGCUAGCUCUCGGACCUGACGUCAGGCUCCUGAACGCAGAGGAGUCCACGAGCAUGCCGAGUAAAGAGAGCACGGUCUUCCCGCAGGUGACCGGAUCGAGAUCAGGUGAAAACUCUCCCACUGAGCCUGAGGAAACAACCAUGAAGAACAUGGAGUAUGAUAACAACAACUUCUCCACCACUGAAGGUCUAACAACUGAGACUGGGAAUGUGCCGCAAACAUCAGACGGACGCACAGUGAUGUCCAUUCCAGAGCUUCAGACUACUUCAGAGCUUCAGACCACGUCAGUGCAUCUGACUCCAGAGCCUGCAACCAUUCCUGCGACCGUCAUGACGACGAAUGAGCUCACCACUCCGGCUGCUCCUUCCGAACCCACGUCUCAGCCCGUGACGGAGAAGACCACUAUGACAAACAUCAUCAGCACUAAGCCUCCUGAGACCCCAUCUCAAACCAUCCCUGAUACAACAGCCUUAAGCACAAAACCACCAGUUUUCACACCUACACCUGCUUCUGUUGAGAAAGUGGAGACCACCGACACUUCUCCAACAACCAUGCCCACACCUAGCACCACCACCACCAUCACCACCACCACCACCACCACCAUGCCCACCACCCCCCUCAUCACCACCAUGCCCACCACCCCCCUCAUCACUACCCAGGGGCAGGCCACCAACCUGAACCUUGUACUGUCUACAGAGGGUGAAGGGUCCAGGACGGGAACUAAAUGGUUAAUCAUCGCUGUCAUAGCGUUGGUCAUUUUCGGCAUAUUAACGAUUUUUUGCGUCACCAUCCUCAUCAAACGCAAGCAGAAGCGAAGUGGCAAGCAGAGCUUCGGCUACACGAACGGACAGAGGUCCAAGAAGAAGAAAGGCACGGAGGACAACGUCUGGGCGGGGCCCGUGGAAUUAGGAGGCGGGGAUUGCGAGGCUCCAGAUGAAGGCGAUGUGCAAGGAGAGGAGAAGAAGACGGACGGGGGAGGGGAGGUGACGGGGCUCAGCACUUUCGUGCCUUCGGAGGAGAACGGAGGCGUGGGGCGGCCGGGGUCACCCGAGGUCGGGAAGUGGGAGGAGAAAGAACCCUUGCUGUACAUUGACGAAGAAGCGACGCAGAAAGGAAAGGAGGCGGGAGCGAGCGGGGACGCAGACGUGAAGGAGGCGGAGCCUAAUGGCGGAGAAACAUUCUGUCUCACCACGGCCGUGUGAAAGCUCCUCCCCUUUUCACAAACUGAUGAGUUCCAAAUAUUUCAGGUCACGCUCCUGUAAAAGAAAAAUGAGUGAUUAGGUCACUGUAUACCCUUUUCUAUCGCUAUUAUAAUAUUAUAAUUACUAUAUUAUUAUAAUGUAAUUAUUAGUUGAUGUCAGAUACAUUAUUUCAAAUUCUUUUCUUUCUUACAUUCCGCUUUUUUCAGACAAAACUUGAAAAAAUGACUCAAAACUGUACAAAAUAUAGGUCUGUGUUUUUCAGUACUUUCUGCUCACUUUAUUUAGCAAACGCCGAGCAGCGGGUUCCGGUCCGCACGCCUCUACUCUUCCACAUCAUUCUCAUUCCUUUCUGAUUCGUCUGUUUACUUUCAUGUUUGAAAAUGAGAACAUAUAUAUAUAUACAUUAUAAACUGCUGCAGACAUUCCAGAUGUGAGUAGUGACACCAGCACUGUCAUAUCGCCUCCUGCAGUAACACAAUCUGAUGUCAUUUAUGUUUUAUUUGUUUAUUUGUUUAUGUGUUUAUGUACAUUUAUGUGUUUAUUUUCAACCAAUACAGCCGUUUGAUCCCGUGUCAUACCUGCUGCUUUAUUUCCCUCUAUUCAUUAUGAUGUUGAUAUUAAACAAUUUCAGAGCGUGUACAGCGUAGUAGAAGGGAUCAGCCUUGUCAUUAAGAGAUAGAUUAAUAGAUGAUGAGAUCUUCGUGUGUAGAGGGGGCGUGGUCUUUGACUCUGUGGGGUCGUGUCUUCAGGACUAUAGACGGGGAUGUGGGCGGGUCUCUGCGUCCGUAUUUGGAAGUCUUGCGUCACUGGCUUUCAUAUAGUGCAUGUCAUUUUUAUAGAUAUUUUUUAUUAACCAGCAGAUGUGACAGGAUUACUUUUUAUGCGUUUAUAGUUACAUUUAAUGUUCUGUGAAAUGACUUCCUGUUCUUAUUUAUGUUAUAGCGGCUAUGAACACUCAUUCCCUCACCAACCUUCUCUUUAUUCUCCCUCUCUAUUCCCUCUCUCUAUUCUCUCUCUAUUCCCUCUCUCUAUUCCCUCUCUCUAUUCUCUCUCUAUUCCCUCUCUCUAUUCUCUCUCUAUUCCCUCUCUCUAUUCUCUCUCUAUUCCCUCUCUAUUCUCUCUCUAUUCCCUCUCUCUAUUCCCUCUCUCUAUUCUCUCUCUAUUCCCUCUCUCUAUUCUCUCUCUAUUCCCUCUCUCUAUUCUCUCUCUAUUCCCUCUCUCUAUUCCCUCUCUCUAUUCCCUCUCUCUAUUCUCUCUCUAUUCCCUCUCUCUAUUCUCUCUCUAUUCUCUCUCUAUUCUCUCUCUAUUCCCUCUCUCUAUUCUCUCUCUAUUCUCUCUCUAUUCCCUCUCUCUAUUCUCUCUCUAUUCCCUCUCUUCCAUACAUGUUACGCAAAUGUACAGAAAACUUCACCACAUCAUCCUACAGACUCGAGGACACGCCCACUGUAUAACAGAAAUGUUACAACAGACUGAAUGUAGCUCGGUACGGGUACACAGCAGAUCUCUGAGUGUGUGUGUGUGUGUGUGUGUGUGUGUGUGUGUGUGUGUGUGUUGAACAGUAGAGCUCUGAGUGUGUACCACACAUCGGCUAUAAAGUAGGUUAUAAGCUGCUCACACACACACACACACACCCACACACACACCCUCAUUAGCGGUGUAAAUGCUCGGUGUUAAACAGCACAGGUCUGCGUGUGUAAACUGUGUGUAAACAUAUCGAUGUUUAUUAACCUGCAGUCCAUAAAAUGCCCACAACAUCAGCGCAGCGCAGCAGCUCGGUAUCUCCAGAUGUGUUCCAGUGAACAUCAAACAAACUGUGACUCUGAAAACACCAACAGGGAACGCCGUACACUUCAGAGUCUCUCAGUGGACCUGUACACGUCAACUCUUUCUCGUUCUUCCUCUUUCUUUCUUCCUGUCUGCCGUGCUUGCUUUCUGCCUUUCAUUCAUUCAUUCAUUCAAAAUCUCAGCUGGAUGGAGGAUUCUCAGGUGAUUCCACAAUAAUGCACAAUAAACAGUAAAACAAACAAACAAACAAACAAACACCCUGGGGGACGUUUCUUAUGGAAUCCUUUCACAAACGGGUGACGCGUGUAGCGUCCACAUGGCCGACUCUGUCUCUGCUGACCUGCUGCUCAAAGUGUAAAUAAAGCAGUCUAUUUAA
ensembl:lncRNA